GUUCGAGUUUUUCACAAAGACUCCUAAAUUUUACUUUCGACCUAUUGCCCCAUAAAUCUUAAUUAAAUCGUUGCAAAUACACCAUUGUUUGCUGAAUUUCAGUCACAAGAAAGAGAGUAAAUGCACAUACCAAUCAGAUACUGCCACAAGUUAAAUAAUUUAAUUUCAUAUUUUAUUUAUAUUUUUGAAUAAAGUUUUCCUUUUUAUUUUAUUUAUCAUCCCACCUCCUCUCCCCCACCCCACCCCAUCCAACAUCUCCCUCUCCAUUCCCUUGUCCAACAACUUCAAUUUGCCAAAAAUAAACACUUUUUUUGAUUGGGA
rnacentral:lncRNA from 1 species